CAAUUAGUUGCGAAUGAAGAGAGAGGACUUCAGCUUGAUAUCCAAAGGCUCUGCCUUUGACAUGAAGAUUCGACAGUGUGCCAAAGGGAGCGUGGUGGAAAGUGGAUACUGUCUUGGAAGAGGGGUGUAAAAAUGGCAACGAGGGUGAUAAACCUUUGACACUUAAUAUGUCUUCCUGCACGGCACCUUGUCUAGACUCAUGCUCUUUGAAAGUGGAGUGCAAAGUGGGUGGUAAAUCUCACUCAAAGACAGAUACAACACUGGGGCCGACAGCGCACAAGUACCGUGAGGGAAGCGUGAAAAGGACUUUGGAAAGAGAAUUAAAGGAGCCUGAACUUGCUGAAGAGCAAGCAUACAGGGUGGGAGAGUUUGGAGAGAUUUCCUUGCACGACCAUGCUUGUGGUCACCUCCUGUGCAAAGGUUUUUGUGGUGCAUACUGGCAUGAUGUGUGUGUGUGUGUGUCUCUUCUUGGAUGACAAUCAAAGACACCUGCAGUCAAUGGCAACUGGUGGUAGUGUGCCAAUUUGUCGUGUGGCUUUUGCCGGUCAGAUUCUGCACGUGUUUGGGGCAUGUUUGGGGGGGGGGGGGGGGCCCCCCCCCAAAUUGUAAAAGACGUGUGGGGGGGUGAGGCCCCCAGGGGCGCAAGAGUAAAAAUGUGCGGGGUGGGUGUUAUCUGUAAACAUCACCCGGGGGUCGACCCCUGUUGAACACGGAUCCAGCAGCGUCAACACCCCUCCGGGUGUGUGUUGUGUUGUGAACAACCUCCGCCCAAUGAAAAGGAGUCCCAACCUGGUGGAGGUGGUCCACCA
rnacentral:rRNA from 1 species